rnacentral:lncRNA from 13 species
CCAACUUUGGGGCAAGCUGUCACAGACACCAAGUCACCUCCAAGUCCUCCCCCAUGGUGGGUGGGGAUACCACAUAGGACUGGUUAAGAAUAUCCACCUCAGUGACGAAGCCCUCUGGAGCAAAGAGUCAGAUUGCUAGAGUAGCCGCAAAGGAGUCCACGGCAGGUACUUGCUACCUCUCUGUGCAUCAGGGAGCAUGCCUCCCAGGGUUCUGAUCUUUGCCUGAGGGAAAGUGAGUGGACCAGAGAGCAUCUGAUGAGGCCAAGUCACAGGAGAGUUUACAGAAGCAAGAAAUCAAUCAACAUGGCUUCAACCGCAGGGGGUGAAGUAGGGGAGUGAGAUGGAUGUUUGAUCAGGUUACAGGGAGCUCAGCCUCUAGUAGCAACCCCAUUGGUAAGCAGCUGUGUGAUCUAAGGUAUAAUGAUGCUUGCCCUAGCUACCUUGUUAUGAGGAUCCAAUGAGAAAGCAGAUGUGAACCGUAAAUAAACUAUCAUCAUUAUCCUGUCA